rnacentral:tRNA from 1 species
GAGGGUGUAGCUCAGUGGUAGAGUGCAUGUUUGCAUGCAUGAGGUCUUGGGUUCAAUCCCCAGUGCCUCCA